UAGGUCGUUGACAGUGUUCCGACCUAUGGUUCGAGUCCCGAGAAUUGUGGUUUAAAGCUGUGUACCAAAAUCCAAAAAGUUAAAUUUUUGGUCAGCUCUCGGGUGGCCUUCAGCAGGCCGUGUACCGGUACGGGUUCGCUUGCUGUACCGGUACGGGGUUGAUGGCUGUACCGGUACGUGGUUGUGUACCGGUACACAGAGCAUUUCCCAGCGAACCCGAGGCUCGGGUUUGGCAGUUCGUGGGCAGUGUACCGGUACACAAACCCGUGUACCGGUACACAGUGCAGAGCGGGCUGUUUUCGUGGAGGGGUGUUUUUGCAAUUGUUGCAACACCUAUAUAUGACACCCCAGCCCCUUUGUGAGCUCCUUUGAGCCCUAGACCAGUGGAGAAAAGGUGAGAACUCCUCCCCUAUGGUUUCUUCUCCAUUUUUGUUAGGUUUUUGCUAGUUUUGAUCUCUUUUCUCUUCUCCUUCUUGCUUUUUGUGGGUAUUUCACCAUUGGAGAAGUGUGAGAUCUUGGUUGGAGCUUGUUUGAGGAUCAACCUUCAACCCUAGAGGACUUUGGAGCUUGGUUUGGAGCUUUUAAGAGGUUUGUAGCUUUUUCUCUCCUCUAGAUUCGGAUUUUGUUGGAUUUUACUAGAUCAAACCCUAGAUUUUGGAUUUUAGGGUUAAAAUUGGGGAUUUUCGUUUUGAGGGCUUUUGUAUCAAAUUGAUGGGUUUAGAACCUUUGUUUAGGUUAGAUUGGAAGGACUCAAGCUCCCAUUUGGAGAUUGUGAGAGCUUCCUUCGCAAUCGGUGAGUUUUUGUCAACCCUAGCCCUAUAUGCUUAAUGAUUGAGCUUAGCGUCGUUUGUUUCGACUAGAUGACACAUGUUCUUGUACCUCUAAGGUACUAGGAGACUAGGGGACAUCCUCGUUGGAGCGCACGAGGAGUUUCGUUGUCAUCGGUGGGUUUGGCUUCCUUGAAAUCGGAGGAAAUUCCUCCUAAGUGGUUAAAUGCUUUCAUUCUCUUCAAACUCAUGCAUAUUCAUGUUUAGUAGCAUUUAUGGAAAUUUUGAAUGCUUGGAACUCAUAUAUUAUGUAUCAAGAAAAUUACUCUAUAUAGUAGAGAGACAAAUGUGCCUUGUUAAUAUGCAUGCGACGAAUAUUCUAUGAGAUGAUAGGAAAUACAGUUUCAUGCUUCGAUUUUGACUAGAAAUUAUAAGUUCUUGAACUUAGUAUCCAUGUUGGGACAAAAUGAGCCAUAGUGUCAUAAAGAGGCACUUGGACUAGAGAAUUAUUAAACUGCAACAUAGAGACUUGAUAAUAGGCCACAUUGACAACAACUAUAUUCCAUAUUUGAGAUAUGAUGAAAUAGUGACUUGGCCACGAGGACAUUUGCUAUAUACCAUGUUACUGAACAUGAGGAUUUGGUACUUGCGACAGAUCGUUGGAUUACUUGCCAUUGUGCUCAUUCGCACAUACUUGUGAGGGUCGCUCCCUACAAGCCGGCACUCCGGAGAUGGCCAUCGCGAUACAUAUUCGCCGUGCGGGAUUGGGCGCCGAAGUGGAUUGCCGUGGGCCAGGCUCACUCCUAAGGUGGGGGUGUUGACUACCACGGGGCCAUUAGGCUCGGCACCGGCCAGACAGCCUUCGGGUGGGUCUCAGGGCCAUAGACAGCCUUCGGGUGGGUCUCUUCAGAUUCGACUUGAGUAUUCAUUAUGACUUGUGGACAGAUGAUGACUUAGUGUACUAUUUGGACAUUGACUAGAAUAGUAAACCUCGGAACUUUACUAAUUCGUAUUGUGAACCUUAUGAAAAUUGGAGACUUUUACUUCAUGCAUAAUCGCUUCGUACUUAUGCUAUUUAUGCUAAGUAGAAAUAUCAUAUUGUAGUAAGUUACAUUUUACUUACCUCUUGUUUUUCUACAUUUAUAGUCACUGACCUCNCGUCGCUAUACACCACAAAGUCUUCACCUUGCACCGGUAAAGCGAGCACCGGAGUUGAAGUUAAUCUUUCCUUAAACUCGUUGAAACUCCGGUAGCACUCGUCGCUCCAGACGAACUUGGUGCCUUUCUGAGUCAGACGGGUAAGUGGAAUCACAACUUUCGAGAAACCUUCCACAAACCGUCUAUAAUAGCCCACUAAGCCCACAAAGCUUUGGACUUCCGUGACAUUCGUCGGGCGCGGACAAUCCUUGAUUGCCUCAAUUUUUCUCGGGUCAACAGAAACUCCACCCUUGGAAAUUACAUGUCCAAGAAAUGUAACUUCUCGAAGCCAGAAGUCACACUUCUUUAAUUUCGCGUAUAGCUUCUCCUCCCGAAGGAUUUGAAGCACUAUGCGCAGAUGCUCCGCAUGUGUAACACACUGGACCUUUGCAAAUUGCGAGAUUCGAGUGUUUGAUUUGUGUGUCGAGCUUUUCCAGACUUUCUGGUAGGUCGUUGACAGUGUUCCGACCUAUGGUUCGAGUCCCGAGAAUUGUGGUUUAAAGCUGUGUACCAAAAUCCAAAAAGUUAAAUUUUUGGUCAGCUCUCGGGUGGCCUUCAGCAGGCCGUGUACCGGUACGGGUUCGCUUGCUGUACCGGUACGGGGUUGAUGGCUGUACCGGUACGUGGUUGUGUACCGGUACACAGAGCAUUU
rnacentral:lncRNA from 1 species